GGCCGGUUAGCUCAGUCGGUUGAGCGUGGCGCUACCAAUGCCAAGGUCGCGGGUUCGACUCCGAAGAUGCGGCUUCGAUUCCCACUCAGUCCU
rnacentral:tRNA from 1 species